rnacentral:rRNA from 1 species
AAGUAAAAAGUCGUAACAAGGUCUCCGUAGGUGAACCUGCGGAGGGAUCAUUACAAAUUCAGUGGGGCGUCGGCUUCGGCCGGCGCGUCGCGUCAACCUCUGUGAACCAUCUCUGUUGCCUCGGGGGCGACCCUGCCGUUUCGGCGGUGGGGGCUCCCGGUGGCCCUCUCAAACACUGCGUUUAUUUGCGUCGGAGUCUAAACAAAUCAAUCAAAACUUUCAACAACGGAUCUCUUGGUUCUGGCAUCGAUGAAGAACGCAGCGAAAUGCGAUAAGUAAUGUGAAUUGCAGAAUUCAGUGAAUCAUCGAAUCUUUGAACGCACAUUGCGCCCUUUGGUAUUCCGAAGGGCAUGCCUGUUCGAGCGUCAUUUCACCACUCAAGCCUGGCUUGGUAUUGGGCGUCGCGGGUCACCGCGCGCCUUAAAGUUCUUUCGGCUGAGCGACCGGUCUCUAAGCGUUGUGGCAACUAUUCGCGGUGAGAUUCGGGCGCGUUGGCCGUUAAAUCUUUCUCAAGGUUGACCUCGGAUCAGGUAGGGAUACCCGCUGAACUUAAGCAUAUCAAUAA